rnacentral:tRNA from 1 species
GGGUCGUUAGCUCAGUUGGUAGAGCAGUUGACUUUUAAUCGAUUGGUCGCAGGUUCGAAUCCUGCACGACCCACCA